rnacentral:rRNA from 1 species
UGGGGGAUGACGGCCUUUCGGGUUGUAAACCUCUUUCCAGUAGGGAAGAAGCCUUUGGGUGACGGUACCUGCAGAAGAAGUACCGGCUAACUACGUGCCAGCAGCCGCGGUAAUACGUAGGGUACAAGCGUUGUCCGGAAUUAUUGGGCGUAAAGAGCUCGUAGGUGGUUUGUCGCGUCUGCUGUGGAAUCGUGCCGCUUAACGGUGCGCGUGCAGUGGGUACGGGCAGACUGGAGUGCAGUAGGGGAGUCUGGAAUUCCUGGUGUAGCGGUGAAAUGCGCAGAUAUCAGGAGGAACACCGGUGGCGAAGGCGGGACUCUGGGCUGUUACUGACGCUGAGGAGCGAAAGCAUGGGGAGCGAACAGGAUUAGAUACCCUGGUAGUCCAUGCCGUAAACGUUGGGAACUAGGUGUGGGGUCCAUUCCACGGAUUCCGCGCCGUAGCUAACGCAUUAAGUUCCCCGCCUGGGGAGUACGGCCGCAAGGCUAAAACUCAAAGGAAUUGACGGGGGCCCGCACAAGCGGCGGAGCAUGCGGAUUAAUUCGAUGCAACGCGAAGAACCUUACCAAGGCUUGACAUGCACUGGAAUCGCCUAGAGAUAGGUGCGCCCUUUGGGGCUGGUGUACAGGUGGUGCAUGGUUGUCGUCAGCUCGUGUCGUGAGAUGUUGGGUUAAGUCCCGCAACGAGCGCAACCCUCGUUCUAUGUUGCCAGCACGUGAUGGUGGGAACUCAUAGGAGACUGCCGGGGUCAACUCGGAGGAAGGUGGGGAUGACGUCAAAUCAUCAUGCCCUUUAUGUCUUGGGCUUCACGCAUGCUACAAUGGUCGGUACAGAGGGUGGCGAUGCCGUGAGGUGGAGCGAAUCCCUUAAAGCCGGUCUCAGUUCGGAUCGUAGUCUGCAACUCGACUACGUGAAGUCGGAGUCGCUAGUAAUCGCAGAUCAGCAACGCUGCGGUGAAUACGUUCCCGGGCCUUGUACACACCGCCCGUCAAGUCACGAAAGUCGGUAACACCCGAAGCCGGUGGCUCUAACCUGUGUGGGGGGAGCC